rnacentral:rRNA from 1 species
AAUAUUGGACAAUGGGGGCAACUCUGAUCCAGCCAUGCCGCGUGUGUGAAGAAGGUCUUCGGAUUGUAAAGCACUUUAAGUUGGGAGGAAGGGCUUUAGGUUAAUACCGUGAAGUUUGGACGUUACCAACAGAAUAAGCAACGGCUAACUCAGUUCCAGCAGCCGCGGUAAUACACAGGGUGCAAGCGUUAAUCGGAAUUACUGGGCGUAAAGCGCGCGUAGGUGGUUCAGUAAGAUGGGUGAGAAAUCCCCGGGCUUAACCUGGGAACUGCUUUCAUAAUUGCUGAGCUAGAGUACGGUAGAGGGUAGUGGAAUUUCCUGUGUAGCGGUGAAAUGCGUAGAUAUAGGAAGGAACACCAGUGGCGAAGGCGACUACCUGGACUGAUACUGACACUGAGGUGCGAAAGCGUGGGGAGCAAAC